AUGCUGAUGCGGAAUAGAAAAUGCAAAAACGUCGCUUGCUCAACCGCAAAUUGACGGCUACGCUGAAGCGCAUGCCGUGUCUGCGGAAUUUGAACCCCGAGCUUUCCAGAGUUCCUUGGAAAAUCCUCCCAUGCACCUGCCAUGUACAUUGCCCUCCUCCUCGAUGUGGCGUGCAAGAUGGCAGCAGCAGCUGUGGGAACAGUUGAAGAGGCGAAGAAAGGUCUACUUUAUAAUAGGUUGUAUGUAAAUAAAACUGAUCGACCUCAACAGAUUCGGCUUCCACUUUUGUCAAGACAAUUGUCAGCAAAGCAAUGGAGCAAUUUCAGUAGGGCGAUAGUAAUAAAUAGUGCAUAGAAA
rnacentral:lncRNA from 1 species